GUAGGGAAUUUUGGACAAUGGGCGCAAGCCUGAUCCAGCCAUGCCGCGUGCAGGAUGAAGGCCUUCGGGUUGUAAACUGCUUUUGUACGGAACGAAAAGACUCUUUCUAAUAAAGAGAGUUCAUGACGGUACCGUAAGAAUAAGCACCGGCUAACUACGUGCCAGCAGCCGCGGUAAUACGUAGGGUGCGAGCGUUAAUCGGAAUUACUGGGCGUAAAGCGUGCGCAGGCGGUGAUGUAAGACAGAUGUGAAAUCCCCGGGCUCAACCUGGGAACUGCAUUUGUGACUGCAUCGCUGGAGUGCGGCAGAGGGGGAUGGAAUUCCGCGUGUAGCAGUGAAAUGCGUAGAUAUGCGGAGGAACACCGAUGGCGAAGGCAAUCCCCUGGGCCUGCACUGACGCUCAUGCACGAAAGCGUGGGGAGCAAACAGGAUUAGAAACCCCUGUAGUCC
rnacentral:rRNA from 1 species